AAAAAUAAAAAGUAAUAAAAACGUAGGGAUGCUGAGAAACCAGAUCUUAUCAAGUGUUAACUCAAGCCUUCAGUGCUUCCUGAUGGUCUGAGUCACAGCCCUGUGGCCCAUCUCUCCUGCCACCUUCCUCUCUCUGUUCCACACCUCCCCCAGCUCAUGUGCUCCAGCCCUGGCCCCUUGCUGCUCCCAUGAGUGUCAAGCUCAUAUUCACGGGGCCUUUGCACAUGUGGUGGCCUUUUGCAGAAAAGGCAUGGAUCAUUCUCUCUAUUGACUCAGGUCGAGGUCGUGGCUCCCCUGACUAUCCUCCAGGAAGUUACCCACAGCCGCCUGGAAGCUAGGCUCCAGGAUCUCUGUCUACAGGUGGAGAAACUGGGACACAGAAAGUUGAAGGAGCUGAAUGGACCAACAGGAGGGCAGCCAGUGUCACAACCACAGAAAUCAUGGUCUGUCCCACAGGCAUCAUGAUACAGAGGCAGUCCUCACUCAGCCCCCAAGGCACUGAC
rnacentral:lncRNA from 1 species